rnacentral:lncRNA from 1 species
GCCACAAUUUUGAUUGUUUUUUUUUUUUUUUUUUUUGAAAGAAGCUGCAGUUAUGUUGCAUUCUACGCUCAGCUGGAAAGGAAUCAACUUACAUAAAUUACUCAUAUUUUUAAUGCUUAUACUUUGUAUAUAUAAUCACAUAAAUAUACAUUUCAAAUGAGUUUGUUCUUCCAUAAUAAGAUACAAAAUACACACAGCAUAAGUUACCAAUGAAUCUUCGAGAACAAAUUAAGACACAUGAAGC